rnacentral:rRNA from 1 species
GGGCGUAAAAGGCUCGCAGGGCGGUUUCUUAAGUCUGAUGUGAAAGCCCCCGGCUCAACCCGGGGGAGGGUCAUUGGAAACUGGGGAACUUGAGUGCAGAAGAGGAGAGUGGAAUUCCACGUGUAGCGGUGAAAUGCGUAGAGAUGUGGAGGAACACCAGUGGCGAAGGCGACUCUCUGGUCUGUAACUGACGCUGAGGAGCGAAAGCGUGGGGAGCGAACAGGAUUAGAUACCCUGGUAGUCCACGCCGUAAACGAUGAGUGCUAAGUGUUAGGGGGUUUCCGCCCCUUAGUGCUGCAGCUAACGCAUUAAGCACUCCGCCUGGGGAGUACGGUCGCAAGACUGAAACUCAAAGGAAUUGACGGGGGCCCGCACAAGCGGUGGAGCAUGUGGUUUAAUUCGAAGCAACGCGAAGAACCUUACCAGGUCUUGACAUCCUCUGACAAUCCUAGAGAUAGGACGUCCCCUUCGGGGGCAGAGUGACAGGUGGUGCAUGGUUGUCGUCAGCUCGUGUCGUGAGAUGUUGGGUUAAGUCCCGCAACGAGCGCAACCCUUGAUCUUAGUUGCCAGCAUUCAGUUGGGCACUCUAAGGUGACUGCCGGUGACAAACCGGAGGAAGGUGGGGAUGACGUCAAAUCAUCAUGCCCCUUAUGACCUGGGCUACACACGUGCUACAAUGGACAGAACAAAGGGCAGCGAAACCGCGAGGUUAAGCCAAUCCCACAAAUCUGUUCUCAGUUCGGAUCGCAGUCUGCAACUCGACUGCGUGAAGCUGGAAUCGCUAGUAAUCGCGGAUCAGCAUGCCGCGGUGAAUACGUUCCC